rnacentral:rRNA from 1 species
GACGAACGCUGGCGGCGUGCUUAACACAUGCAAGUCGAGCGGAAAGGCCCUUCGGGGUACGUCGAGCGGCGAACGGGUGAGUAACACGUGAGUAACCUGCCCUUGGCUCUGGGAUAGCUCCGGGAAACCGGAAUUAAUACCGGAUAUGACCUCGGCCGACAUCGGCUGUGGUGGAAAGAUUUAUCGGCCAGGGAUGGGCUCGCGGCCUAUCAGCUAGUUGGUGGGGUAACGGCCUACCAAGGCGACGACGGGUAGCCGGCC